GCCAGCAUGGUGUAGUGGUUUGAAUGUUAGACUAGGACUCUGCAGACCAGGGUUUGAAUCCCUGCUCAGCCA